rnacentral:misc_RNA from 1 species
GCCCAUCCACGCUCGGGUUUUCCCGAUGCGGACCUGGCCCUCCGAGCCGCGAGGCGCGGUGGGCCCAAGUGUGGGGCCGUCGUACGGGGCCGGGAGCGGCGAGUGGUGGGCUACUGCGCACGUCACCCCGAGCCCCGUGCCGGCAGAGGGCCUUGGUUGAACCCCGAACGAGGAGCCGGCUAUCGCAGCGUCCUGCUGUGCGGCAUCUUCGGACC